CCAUCGAGACCAGAGAUAGCGGUACCCUGAGUUGGCCUUUACUUAGGAAUGUAAAGAAUGAAAAGAAUCAUGUUGUAAUAAUCAUGUUAAAUCGGAUUGUAUUUGGAAGUUAAGUGAAAGCUAAUGUAAGAAUUUAAUGAGAUUUAUGAUGUAAAAAUGUAUGAAUGUGAAUGCAUGUUAUAACAUAGGAUGUGUUAUGUUGUUUGAUACCUUCCAUUAUGCAAUCUUGAUUGAAAUGUGUUCCUGGUUGGAACUUCGUACAUUGUAUUGAUUGCGACGCCUUAAAUGUACAGGGGAGACUCUGUCCGCGGUACAGGGGAAACCCUGUCCGUUCGGCGGUCUGUUGUGGCGCCGCGACCCAGCCAAAUAGGCGGGUAGUCGCGGGGCGUGACAGCUAAAGAAU
rnacentral:lncRNA from 1 species